AAUGGGAUCACCGCAUGCCUGAGAAUUCCUCCCAUCACCAUUGAUAACUCAACCAAGGCUAUGUUCUUGAACUUGAUAGCCUAUGAAAUGAGCUCAGACGUCGACCAUGACUUCAUCUCUUACCUUCGCUUCCUUGAUUCCCUCAUUGAUCAUGCUGAUGACGUUAAGGAGCUGCAGUCCAUCGGGAUACUCCAAAACAAUCUAGGAACCCACGACGAAGUAGCUCAAUUCUUCAACACCGUGUCCGCCAACUUGGAAUCCAACUUUCAUGCUUACAAAGACGUGAGAGUGAAAAUUCGGAAGCACCUUCAGAGUCACUAUAACAGCAAACUGACAAUGUGGAUGACACAAUGCCUGGACACCUAUUUCGGUAGCCCCUGGACUAUCAUAGCUUGGGUUGGUGCAGCUUUGGCCCUAUUCCUUACUUUCGUCCAGACUUACUUCUCAGUCUUCCCUCAUUGAUGCAUGCCUGCCCUCUUUUCAACUAUCACCGUCUCAAUUAAGGUAAUAUCCACUCCAAAUUUCCUUGUUCUUCUUGCUAUCUGCAUUUUACCUAGUCCAUGUAAAUUAAGCAAAGACUCAUUGGCUUCAUGCGCUUUUGACCUUACCUAUUUUGUGUUUUUGGUUUCAGCCUAUUUUCUACAUUGCUUUCCGUGCUUAAAUUAAGUAACGAAUGAAUAUGUAGUGUGACCUUAGUUUGGUGAUUUUGUGCUUUCGCAAGCAUGUGCUAUGCUUAUAUAUAUGCAUCAUCAGCAAUAUUAUGUUUGAUUUAAGUACGUAAAUAAAGAUAGAUAUAGGUGGAAUAUUUUUUUUUCUAUGUUUAUAUUCCUGUUAAUGUAUUAUAUAUAUGUUAGGUCUGGCAAUUUUUUAUCUCAUACCAUUUUUAAUUAAAUCAUUUUUAAACUAUAGUUACUAAGCCAAAAAUUAUAAUGCUCUAGAAAUAUAAUCAAUCUCAUUGUCGAAUUUUUCUAAACUAAUCUCAGAAUAAGCUCGAUAUCUCUAACAAUAUAUUAUUUAAGGCACAUAAUAUUCCAAAAAAAAUUCUGCAAAAGAAAAAGAAAUUUGUUGAGAAGUGGUUUAUUUUAGUUGAUCUCUUAUUAUAUUUAGGAAUAUGGACAAAAUGUUAUAUUUAGGAAUAUGAACAAAACAACAUUUUGUCCGAUAGAAAUUUACCCAUCAAUAUGAAUGGAUAGAAAUUUACCCAUCAACAUGAAUGGUAUGGAAAUUUGACUAAUGCUUGUAAGAUCGGAUUUGUAAAUAUUUGUGGGUGAGUUUCUUUUGACAACCGAUGGACAAAUUCAUGUCAUGUAAGACUUAUUUGACAACAUUCUAAAAUAAUGUUGCUAAAAAUAUUUAAGAAUAGUUCUGAAAAUAUGUUUUACCUGUUUUUAGGAAUAAAAUUCUAACUUAUUUUGAGAAUAUUCUUAAAAAAAAAAGAAAAAAAAAAAGAGAGAAUGUUGUUAAAACUUGUUAAGAAUAUUUUUAAAAAUAUGUUUUAUUUGUUUUUAGGAAUAAAAUUCCAUUUAAGAAGCCUAGUCCUUCGCAAAGGCAUGUGCCACCAUCUAUAAUGGAAGAAGUUCACACCUAUUUUUCAUUUUUUUUUUGUUCUUUUUUUAAAACACUUGCAUAGCUUCUGGAUUAAAGUUCUUAAAGAUUAUUUUCAAAAUUUGAUGUAAUAAUUUAAAAAAAAAUUACUAUAAAUAUAUAUAUAUAUAUAUAGAGUUACUAUUAUUUUUAAUUUUACAAAAUAAAAAACAAAAAAUGUACCUAAAGGAUACCUUAAUUUCAACUUAUUAACUAUAUGUAAAAUUAAAAGUAUUUUUCUCCUUUUCAACUUGUUACAUACUUCAGUGCUUGUAUAUUGCUUCCAUACCAUAUGAUAAGAUGUGGCUAAAAUUGAUCUUCAUGUCAAGAAUUGGAAGCCUUCAAUAUGUUGUAAUUGCUUAAAAGAUUUCGCUUUGAGUUAUGUUUCUUGUGGGGUGAUGGCAAAGAAAACCAACAAAUUAAUAGAAAAACUAUAAAUAUAAUUCAGAAUUAAGGAAAAAAGAAAUACAAUAUUGAAGGUGCAGUAGAAUAAAAAGGAGUGUGGGCAUGAAUGAUAUGUAAAAACUCACCCAAUAGAAUCCUUUAUGAAGUAAAUAUUUUCAUAUCAUACGAUCCAAUGUUAAUCCUUCAUAACCUAUGGAACUGUAGAACCUUGAGAGGAAAAAAGCCACUCACAAAUUAUGACACAAACAGAAACUAGGAACAGUGGAAGAAAAUUGAAAAACUGAUCUCCCUUUCCGAGUCCAGCAACAAAAUUAGUGUCCAACCUUAAAAUGGGCAUGUGUGGUAUUGACGAGAGAUGCUAAGAUGGAAAUCAUAACCAUAGUCAUGUUCUCUCUGUGUCUUUGUGUCUUUCUAACCCACUUUUUUUAAGAAAAUAAUAGACCAAGACUAUAAUUAUCAAUUAUGACUUUAUUGUUUAAUUUAUAUUCUUUAACAAUUUUUUUAUUUUUUUAAGAAUAAUUUGUUUUACUAUAAUGGUAGGUGAUGAAUUUAUUUUCUUAAUAAAAGGCCUCCCAAUAAGGCAAUAGUUUCAUGUUUUUUUUUUAUCCUCUGCUUUUGUUGCAACUCUUCUGCUUCCGACCUUUCAUUAACCUAAAUAUUAGAAGUUUCUAAUUCAGUCCAUUGCACUCCAGUUGUCUAAAUACGGAAGCUUCUUCCACGACCCAGUUGCACUUUGGAAAGUUAAGCUUAAGAUUUACGAAGUUUCUGAAAAUUACAGUUUAUUUAGUUUCUAAAAUCCAAUUAGCUAGAUAUUUUAUUUGAUUUCUUUUUAUAUUUAAGUAGUUGAGUUUUGGAAAGUUUUUAUAUUUUAUUAAUAGAAAAAAAAAAUUUAUAUUUUUUAUUAUUAGGAAUUUCUAUUUUGUUAAAUUGUAAGUAUCUAUCUCAAUAAGAGAUUAUUAAUAUUCGAAUGAAAGUGAUGAAAGAUAGUAAAUAUUUUAAUGCUCCUCAAUUAUAUUUUAAUGUUAUUUUUUUACAUGAGGGUUAAUUCAAUUUUAAUUUCAACAUGUAAUAUGUUAAAAAUAUUAUAAAAUAGAACUAUAAAGGAGUAUUUACUUAUUUUAUAAUAUUUUCAAUCUACAAUUUUCAAAAAUCAAUAUUUAAAAAAGGUAUUAAAACAUCCCUUCUCUUCAAUAUAAAAGCAUUAUUGUAACAUAUUGUGGACCCCGCAUUUUGCCCAAUGCGUUCCCACUCGAUGACAAAACUCGCUUUCUAUUUAUUUUGUGAAAAAUAUGAUUUUUUUCAAAAGACUUAGAGUCGCCACUUAUUUUUGUUUUAUUUUUAAAGGAAAAACAAAAUAAGAAAGAAAAACCCUAAAUGUGAUUCCUUAUUUGGAAAAAAUAGGUCUGUGAAAAAUCACGUCGGGUCCGAGGGUCAGGUUACUUAUUGGAAAAGUACGGUGGUGAGCCAUAACACCCCUCUAAGUCCAUAAAAACGGGUCUCUACUAAUAAAAUGAAGCAAACAUGACAAUUGGUAAGGAAAUCAAUGGAUACAAAAGUGAUCACAAAUUAAAAGUAAUCAUGAUAAUGAAUAAAUGAACGAAGUGAGAGCGAGAGUGUACCUUGGCAGCAGGUAAUAAAGCGUUAUUAUGAAACAAAGUUAGUGCACAAUAACAAAUACAAAAUAUAUCACAUGCAUGUCAAAUAUUAGAACAAAAAAAAAAAAAAUAUUCAUUAGGCAUAGCAAUUAACAAUCAGAAGAGAAAUCUCAUAUGUAGGGUCCCCCACCAAAGCCCAAUUUAUCUUGCAUGCAUUGGUCUCACAAAUUUUAUUAUUUCGAAAUUAUGAAAAAUUCAUUCUUACUUAUGAAAAAUCAAAAGAAACAGAAGAUUAUUUGAAAACCGGAGUGGAAUUAAAACUGUUCAAAAUUUGUUUGAAAAUUGGAGUCUCGAAAAUUAUUUGAAAAUUGGAGUCUUGGGAAUUAAAUUUAAGAAUUGGAAUUUUGGAAAUUAAAUUUGAAAGAAAUUGGAAUUUUUUAAAAUUAUUUAAGAAUUAGAGUUUUUAAAAUUAUAUUAAGGAAUUGGAACUUUAGAAAUUAAAUUUGAAAGAAAUUAGCAAAUUAUUUGAGAAUUAGAGUUAUGAAAAUUAAAUUAUGAAAAUUGGAAUCUUGGAAAUUAUUUGAAGAUGGAAAAAAUAAACAAAAUAAUAAUAGUAAUAAUAAAUAAAUAAAUAAAUAAAUGUGAAAAUUGGAAUUUCGGAAAUUGGAAAUUAAAUUCGGAAAUUGAAAAAUUGGAAUUUCAAAAAUUGAGAAUUAAAAUUGAAAAUCAGAAUUUUGAAGAAUUAUUUACAAAUGGAAUUUUAAAAAUAAAUUAAUUAAUUAAAUAAUGAUAAUAACGAAGAUAACAAUGAUUAAAUAAAUAAAUUUGAAAAUUAGAAUUUUGGAAAUUGGAAAUUAAAUUCGAAAAUUAGAAAAUUGGAAUUUAGGAAAUUCGGAAUUGAAUUUGGAAAUCGGAAUUUUGAAGAAUUAUUUAAAAAUAGAAUUUUAAAAAUAAAUUAAAUAAUGAUAAUAACGAAUAUGAUAAUGAUUAAAUAAAUAAAUAUGAAAAUUAGAAUUUUAGAAAUUGGAAAUUAAAUUCGGAAAAUUGUAAUUUAGGAAAUUGGAAAUUGAAUUUGGGAAUCGAAAUUUUGAAGAAUUAUUUAAAGAUGAAAUUUUAAAAAUAAAUAAAUUAAUUAAUUAAAUAAUGAUAAUAACGAAGAUAGCAAUGAUUAAAUAAAUAAAUUUGAAAAUUAGAAUUUUGGAAAUUGGAAAUUAAAUUCGGAAAUUGAAAAAUUGGAAUUUUGGAAAUUGGGAAUUGAAUUUGGAAAUCGGAAUUUUGAAGAAUUAUUUAAAGAUGAAAUUUUUGAAAACUUGAUUUAAAAGGAGAUGGAGUUUCAAAAAUUUAUUUGAAGGUGUCAUUUUAAAAAUUAAAUUUAGAAUUGUGGAAUUUUUGGAAGAUUAAAAUUAAAAUUUUGAAUUUGGGAAAAUUAAAUUUAAAGUUAGAGUUUUAGAAAAUUAUUUCAAGAAUUGAAUUUUGAAGAAUUAAAUUUAAAAUAUUGAAGUUUUGGAAAAUUGAACUUAAGAUCUGAAAUUUCGUAAACUAAAUUUAAAAAUCAAAUUUUACAAGAUUAUUUCGAAAAGGGUACUUAUAUAUAUAUAUAUAUAUAUAUAUUAAUAAAAUAAUAAAUAAAUAGAUAAAUAAAAAUAAAUAAAUAAAGCAAAUAAAAUGAAUGAAUAAAUGAAUAAAUUUGAAACUUUGGGAUUUUAGAAGAAUUAUUUGAUAACAGAAUUUAAAAAAAAAAUGAAAUUUUUAACAUGAAAAGUGGAAUUACGAAGAUGGCACGUGAAAGAAAAGAUAAAAAACUAAUAAUAAUUCACCAUGAGGCCACUGGACCCAUGCCACUAAUAAAAAAAAAACUCAUGCCUUUGACUUUUCAUUCACCAAUUGUUUAAACAAUUUCCUACUGUCAAUGAACCACCAAGAAGUGGAGUAAUGAAGCCCCACUUCUCCACGAAAAAAAAAAAAACACCAGUAUGUAUCUGACUAGUGAUGACAAACUGUGGUGGCGAACAAGGAUAGAAGACGAUGUAGAGUUUGGAAGGCCCCAAAUCACCACUUGGGAGACUUUGAAGAAGGAAUUGAAGGAUCAGUUCCUUCCCACCAACAUUGCUUGGGUGGCCAAAGAAGCGUUGAAAAGGGUCAAACACACCGGAUCUGUAAGGGACUACGUCAAGGAAUUCAGUUCCUUGAUGCUGGACAUAAAGAACAUGUCAGAUGAGGACAAGCUCUUCAAUUUCAUGUCUAGAUUGCAAGGGUGGGCUCAAACGGAACUUAGGAGGCAAGAGAUUCGUGAUCUCCCUGUUGCCAUGGUUGCAGCAGAUUGCCUGGUGGACUACAAGAUGGGUGGCGCCAUCUCCACCAUGUAGAGACCUAAGUCAGAAGGAGGUAAGAAGGCUAAGGUUGAGGGCAAGACUUCUAAGAAAUCUGGGUGGAAGAAACAGAACAAGAAGCCUGUUGUAGAGGGAAAACCAGUGGAAAAGACCAUAAAGUUUGUGCAGCAGACCACCCGGAUGGUAGGAUGUUUCAUCUGCAAUGGCCCUCAUCGAGCCAGAGACUGCCCCAAAAGAAAGAAACUCUCAGCCCUUGUGACUGUAGACGACAAGGGAGAGUCUGACUUAGAGACUCCUCUUAGAGUCAACCCACUGCAACUCCUGAACGUGAUUAAUGGUGAGACUCCAGUCCAUAAGUCCCUAAUGCAUGUCCAUGCAGUUGUAAAUGGUGUGCAGGUGAAGGCCUUGGUGGACAGUAGUGCCACGCACAACUUCGUGGCCACCAGAGAAGCAACCAGGUUGGGAUUGAAGUUGGAAGAGGAUACUAAUUAGAUCAAGGCAGUCAAUAGCAAAGCCCAGAAAAUCCAAGGGGUAGCAAAGAAUGUCCCCAUGCAAAUUAGUGACCGGAAGGGCACAUGCAACCUACUUUGUGUACCCUUGGACGACUUCAACUUGAUCAUCGGUGUAGAUUUCCUCUUGAGGGCUAAGGUGGCCUUGAUCCCACAUCUUGGUGGGCUGGUGGUGUUAGAAGAAAAGCAGUCUUAUUUCAUGAAGGCCUUGAGGGUGAAGGAUGGUGGCAAGGGUUAACAUGAGAUGCUGUCUACUAUCCAUUUGAAGAAGGGAUUGAAGAGGGGUCAGGAGACUUAUGUUACAACCUUGAUCGAGAUCAAGGAGAGAUAGUCUGUGGAAGUCCCUGAUUCAGUGGUCAAAAUCCUUAAGGAGUUCAGAGAUGUGAUGUCUGCAGAACUCCCCAAAGAAAUGCCACCUAGGCGGCCUAUUGACCACAAGAUUGAAUUGCUACCUGGAACAAAGGCCCCGGCUUAAGCUCCUUACAGGAUGCCUCCUGCGGAGUUGUUGGUGUUACGUAAGUAAUUGAAGGAACUGUUGGAUGCAGGCCUGAUCCAGCCCUCAAGGGCCCCAUAUGGUGCACCAAUGAUGUUCCAAAAGAAGCAUGAUGGCUCUCUCCGCAUGUGUGUAGAUUAUAGAGCUCUCAACAAGGUGACCAUCAAGAACAAGUACCCGAUCCCCUUGGCUGCCGAGCUGUUUGACAGAUUGUCAAAAGCCUCUUACUUCACCAAGUUGGACCUAAGAUCGACUACUGGCAAGUGCGAAUUGCAGUAAGAGAUGAGAAGAAUACCACCUGUGUAACUCGGUAUGGAUCAUACGAGUUUCUGGUAAUGCCAUUUNNNNNNNNNNNNNNNNNNNNNNNNNNNNNNNNNNNNNNNNNNNNNNNNNNNNNNNNNNNNNNNNNNNNNNNNNNNNNNNNNNNNNNNNNNNNNNNNNNNNUAAUGCCCCUGCUACAUUCUGCAAUUUGAUGAAUGAUGUUCUGUUUGAUUACUUAGAUGCAUUUGUGGUAGUGUAUCUAGAUGAUAUUGUGGUUUACAGUAAGACUCUAACAGAACAUGAGAAACACUUGAGAUUGGUGUUUCAGAGAUUGAGGGAGAACAUGCUUUAUGUAAAGCCAAAGAAAUGUGAGUUUGCUCAGGAGGAUAUCACAUUUCUAGGACACAAGAUCAGUGCAGGUCUGAUCAAGAUGGAUAAAGGCAAGGUGCAGGCUAUUAUGGAGUGGCCAGUCCUUAGCAAAGUGACUGAGUUGCGGUCCUUCCUUGGCUUGGCCAAUUACUACAGAAGGUUCAUUAAGGGGCAUUCAAAGAGGGUGUCUCCCCUUACUGACCUAUUGAAGAAGGACAACCAGUGGAGUGGAGCAUGUAGUGUCAGAUGGCCUUUGAAGGCUUGAAGGAAGCCAUCUCCACUGAGCUUGUGCUACGUUUGCCAGACUUAGACUUACCCUUUGAAGUCCAGACAAAUGCCUCAAAUAGAGCUUUGGGUGGAGUCUUGGUGCAAGAAGGGCACCCUAUGGCAUUUGAAAGUAGGAAGUUGAAUAAUGUUGAGCAGAGGUACUCCACUCAUGAGAAGGGGAUGAUAAUUGUGGUUCACUGCCUGCAGCAGUGGAGACACUACUUAUUGGGAAGCAUUUUUACAGUGGUCACUGAUAAUGUGGCCAACACCUUCUUCAAAACUCAAAAGAAGCUGAGUCCCAGACAAACACGAUGGUAGGAGUUCCUGGCCAACUUCAAAUUUGAAUGGCUGCAUCGACCAGGAAGACAUAACACUGUGGCUGAUGGCUUCAGUAGGAAAGAGGUGAUUGCCUACAUCAUGGCCCUCUCAGAAGUCAUCUUUGACUUCAAUAAGAAAAUCAAGCAAGUUGCAGAGUAGGAUGCUGCAUAUGGCAGGUUGAAGCGGCAAGUUAAGGAGGGUGUGAUAAGGAGGUAUUGGCUAGAGGGAGACCUCCUUGUGGCAAAAAGAGGAAGAUGGUAUGUUCCUGCAGGCGGCCUGAGAAAUGAAUUAUUGCAGAAAACUCAUGACGCAAAGUGGGCAGGUCAUUCCGGUGAAGAGAAGACUCUGGCACUGCUAGCCAUAUCCUACUAUUGACCUAAGAUGGGUGAGGAUGUCCAGGCAUAUGUGAAAUCCUAUCUGGUUUGUCAGAUGGACAAGACCAAGAUGAAGAAGGUUGUAGGGUUGCUACAACCCCUCUCCAUUCCAGAGAAACCUUAGGAGAGCAUUUCCAUGGAUUUCAUCACUGGAUUUCCAAAGGUUUGUGACUUUAAAUCUAUCUUUGUUGUUGUAGAUAGAUUCUUUAAGUAUGUUGUGUUUAUACCUGCCUCUGAUGCUUGCUCUACGGAGGAAGCGACUAAGUUGUUUUUCAGUAAUGUUGUCAAGCACUUUGGGUUGCCUAGGGACAUAGUCAAUGAUCGAGAUGCACGGUUCAUAGGCCGAUUUUGGGUUGAGUUGUUCAAACUCUUGGGUUCAUAGUUGAAGUUUUCUACAGCCAACUACCCUCAUACUGUCGGUACUCGCACGGAUUCUACCAUUUCCCGGUAUUCGCCGGGAUUUUACGAUUUUUCGUUAUUCGCUCGGAUUCUACCAUUUUCAUUUAGUCACACUGAUUCAACCCUUUUCCGGUACUCGCCCGAACAGUUUUUCGGUACUCGCACGGAUUCUACCAUUUCCCGGUAUUCGUUGGGAUUUUACGAUUUUUCGGUAUUCGCCCGGAUUCUACCAUUUUCAUUCAGUCACACUGAUUCAACCCUUUUCCGAUACUCGCCCGGAGAGUUUUUCGGUAUUCGCACGGAUUCUACCAUUUCCCGGUAUUCGCCGGGAUUUUACGAUUUUUCGGUAUUCGCUCGGAUUCUACCAUUGUCAUUUAGUCACACUGAUUGAACCCUUAUCCGGUACUCGCCUGGAGAGUUUUUCGAUACUCGCACGGAUUCUACCAUUUCCCAGUAUUCGGUUGGAUUUUACGAUUUUUCGGUAUUCGCUCGGAUUCUACCAUUUUCAUUUAGUCACACUGAUUCAACCCUUUUUCGGUACUCGCCCGAACAGUUUUUCAGUAGUCGCACGGAUUCUACCAUUUCCUGGUAUUCGUUGGGAUUUUACGAUUUUUCGGUAUUCGCUCGGAUUCUACCAUUGUCAUUUAGUCACACUGAUUGAACCCUUAUCCGGUACUCGCCUGAAGAGUUUUUCGAUACUCGCACGGAUUCUACCAUUUCCCGGUAUUCGGUUGGAUUUUACNNNNNNNNNNNNNNNNNNNNNNNNNNNNNNNNNNNNNNNNNNNNNNNNNNNNNNNNNNNNNNNNNNNNNNNNNNNNNNNNNNNNNNNNNNNNNNNNNNNNCAUGACGCAAAGUGGGCAGGUCAUUCCGGUGAAGAGAAGACUCUGGCACUGCUAGCCAUAUCCUACUAUUGACCUAAGAUGGGUGAGGAUGUCCAGGCAUAUGUGAAAUCCUAUCUGGUUUGUCAGAUGGACAAGACCAAGAUGAAGAAGGUUGUAGGGUUGCUACAACCCCUCUCCAUUCCAGAGAAACCUUAGGAGAGCAUUUCCAUGGAUUUCAUCACUGGAUUUCCAAAGGUUUGUGACUUUAAAUCUAUCUUUGUUGUUGUAGAUAGAUUCUUUAAGUAUGUUGUGUUUAUACCUGCCUCUGAUGCUUGCUCUACGGAGGAAGCGACUAAGUUGUUUUUCAGUAAUGUUGUCAAGCACUUUGGGUUGCCUAGGGACAUAGUCAAUGAUCGAGAUGCACGGUUCAUAGGCCGAUUUUGGGUUGAGUUGUUCAAACUCUUGGGUUCAUAGUUGAAGUUUUCUACAGCCAACUACCCUCAUACUGAUGGGCAGACUGAGAGAAUCAACGCCUUGCUGGAAGAAUACCUCAAGCAUUAUGUGACAGCAAUACAAAAGAAUUGGGUGGAUUUGUUAGAUACUGCCUAGUUGUGUUAUAAUCUGCAGAGGAGCUCAACAACAAGGAUGAGUCCCUUUGAGCUGGCUAUUGGGGUACAGCCACAGAUGCCUUUGGAGGUAGCUAAGCAAAAAGCAGAAGGAGGUAGUCCUGCAGCUUACAAGAUGGCUCAAUCCCGGCAUGAGAUGUUUGAUGAAGCCCGGGACAGUCUAGAGAAGGCAGUUAGAUGAAUGAAGAAGUAUGCGGAUCAUGACCGCAAAUCCUUGGAAUUUUAGGUUGGGGACAAGGUCCUCUUGAAAUUGACUCAUAAGAUAUGGAAGAAAAUCAGUAGCAAGACAAGGCAGAGGAGUCUAAUUCCUAAGUAUGAUGGACCAUUCGAGGUGAUAAAACGAGUUGGGCAGAUGACCUACAUGUUGAAGCUGCCUGAGAGGCUCAAGCUUCACCUAACUUUCCAUGUUAGCUUUCUAAAUCUUUACCAUGAGGAUCUGGAUGUAGAGAGAGUGCAAAUAAAGCGGGCCCUUCUCUUGGUCAUGAAGCAGUUUGAUCGAGAGAUAGAGAAAAUCUUAAAUCAUAGGACCAUGGGACAUAGCAGAAAGAACCGACGAACUGAUUUCUUGGUUUAGUGGAAGUGGACUUCAAAAGUAGAAGCUACAUGGGAGAGGAAUGUUACCUUAUGGCAAUUUGAGACGGCGGUCCAAACAUAUUGGUAGACUAAGUCGACGAGGGUGUCAACUUCAAUAGGCGGGGGUGGGUUUGUCAGCCCCUUAACCACUUGACUCUACCAUGGAGGAAAAGGCCUCAUGGGUAAACCUUGCACCCAUGAGAGCCUAGACGGAGAAAGCAAGGAAGACUUAGAGGUUUGGUGGUUCAAACUCCAAGAGCUAAGUGAGAAGGCCAUGUGUGAGCUAGACACGCACCGUGGACGAGCCUGACGCACACCGUGCGUGCAUCGCGAGCGAGUCAAACAAGCACCGCGUGCGCAUUAGAUGGGCACCGCGUGCACACUAGAUGGGCAUCGCGCGCGCACCAAUCUUAGGUAGUGCAGAUGAAGGCUGAAGGCUACUUUUGGAAUUUAAUUUAUAUUUAUUUAAUAUUCCAUUAUGUCUCAUCAGGCAUAUUAAUGUCUCCUCCAGAAACAAUGAAAACGACUUGUAUUACUCUUUAGGGGGGGGGGGGGGGGGGGGGGGGGGGGGGGGAGGAGGUAAGCAACUCAAAAAGGGAAGCACCAAGGGAAAGCCUUGACCGCACCAAGAGGGCACCAUGACACGACCUUGGGCGUGCCUAGGACACACGGAUAGGACUCGAGCACGCACACAUGGGCUCCACGACAUGUGUGGUGUGCACCACGUGGCCACAACGGCACGGGGCCUGGUGCGGCCUACCUCCUCCUCGUGUAGGCAUGAGGACGCCUAAACCUUGUGCAGUGAGCCAGUUGAGGAAGUCAUGGGCGCAAUACCAUGGCUUGAUGGGGCAUUAAACAACAAUUGACUAGCACCCAUGAUGCCUACGUACAGCACAAGGGCGCAAUGCCCUGUGCACUAAGAGGGAUCAGUCAUGAACGCAAUGUCAUGGCUCGUUGCUAUGAAGUUGGACCUCACAUUGGAAGCAAGCAACAUGCCCAAGCCAUGGGCACCUAAACAUGACAUGGGCUCACAUAUCAGUGUGGGGAAGACACACUGAUGCACCAGACACUUGGUCAGCUGGUUGGUGCACGUUGCCUAGUUCUGAAGGCCUUGAUCAAAGACACGCUGGUGGGCACCAGGUCAUAAGAGGCACCUUGCGGGAAAGGAGGCAACUUGUUAAGGGGACUCUUCAGCAGCUUGGUGAGAAAGGCUUGAGGAGAUGGCAAUGCAACAAGCUAGUGGCAGCUAGUUGGGAUAGCAAGUGAUCAAGUCAAGCAGCCAAUUGACUUGCAGUUGGCUGAGGUGUUGAUGGCUGGUGCAAGUGGGUGGUUCACGAGCAGGCCACUAUCUGGGUGGUGGGUGGUUAUGCAGGACAGUUAUGGGCGCAUUUGGCCAAUUGCAUAACCACUAGAUUGGCUUCAACUUUUAAAUUUGGUAAUUCAAAAAUGUAACUGCAGAAUGAGUCUUUUAAAAGGGCUCCUGCAUCCUUGAAAUAGAGAGUGAGAGAUUGGGAUAGGGUUCUCUUAAUGCUUGGGGUGUGAAGUAUUGUACUAUGACUCAGGGGAAACAAUUUUGUCUUGUAGAGUGAAUUAAUACAAGUUGGGAAAGGUUUCCUGUAAAUCGUUGGUGUCCCUGUUACUGUGCUUUUACUUUGCUUUUACUCUAUUUUUGAAAAGGCUGGGAAGGAAGGUUGGCUAAGGAAGGGUCCUUAGCACCGCACACUCGUGAAAAAUUUAGUGUGAUCUUCAGGGGGGUGUAACAGUGAGUAUAGUGUCGGGUUUGAGCAUCUCCAAGCAUUUCAAUAUGGUUCAAAUGGCUCUCAAACAUCCAGAAAUUCCCAACAGUAUGAAAAAUGGCUCUCAUGGUGCUCUCCCAGAAACACCUCCACCCAAGAUGGCCAACCUCAAACGUAAUGCCCAACACUCUAAAAUAUACCAAAAGCAGAGGAGAAAGUAAACAAAAGCAAAGCAUGCACAAACGUAAAUGAUACCGUUAAACCUAGCUCCAUUUCAUAAAGAUCAAUGGGCUGGAUAUAGGCGGAACCAAAAGAAAGCAAGAACGUGAUCUUCAAAACCUUAUUCAAGCAUCAAGAUGAACCCAAAAUUGGCGGGAAAUGAAAUAGAACAAACCGAAAUGGGAAAUGCAAAGCAUGCUAAAAUCAUACCUGACCAAAACGACAGGCUUUUCCUCUGCUCAAACUCGGAAUGUCCCUUUCUCCUAUCUUUCUUAGCUAGCUCUGCUACCCUUCCUCCAUGUCUCCUAUCAGCUGGGUUUUUCUUAUUUUCUCAGCCCGCUUCAUAACCACCAGAAAAACGAAAAAAAAUCUCUUCUUACCUCCUUCCAGCUUACUUCUCCUCCAAGCUAUAUCCAUAUCCCAUCUCAUUUGGCAACCCAAUAGCUCACCCAUCAGUCCUCUUUGGCUGCCCCAAAAACAGCUCACUUCUAAGGUAGUCAGAAAAAGAAAAAAAGAAGAAAGAAGGAAAAAAAAAAUGCUUCCAUCCGAGGGGGUCUACACAUAUACAUUUUGUUCUAAUUUUCUAAUAGUUGUGCACAGUUGAAGGGAAAACAAUUUGAUUUUCUAAUUAAUAUUACUUUUAUAAAUACUUUAAUUACUUUUAUAAAAUUGAUUCAUAAUGAUUUUAUUAUUUCUUUGGAACUCAUAAAAUAAAUCUAAUUACGACAGAAAAAGAAAAAGAGAAAAGUGAGUUUUGAUCACUAAUUUGAAAAAUACAAAAAUAAAAAACUUCAGCUUUUAUAAAUCAUUUGUAUCUUCAUUUAUUUAAAAUUAUUUUAAAAUACAUGCACUUUUUUAUAACUCAAAUAAUUAUUUCCUAAAAUGACCUUAUUAUUUAUGAUGUUAAUAAUAUCAUUUUUUUUUAACCAUGAGAACCUAUUUGAGAUUAAUAAAAUGAGAAAUUUUAAAAAUUUUAAAUACAAUUAAAACUAAAAAAACUUUAAAGUUAAAAAUAUAAAAAUAAAAUAUUAUAUUUUUUUAUUAUAUUUUUGGUUUUUAAUUGUAUUUAAUUUUUAUGUAUUUUAGUUUUAAUUAUAUUUUUAAAUUUUAUAAAUUUCUUAUGUUAUCCUUAAUUGAUGUCAACUAAUAAAAUUUAUAUUCAAUUUUAUUUAUUUUUUUUAAAUGAGAAGAUGUGGGGGUUUAUCUAAUACAAAACAUAAAAUCAUAUUAACUAGGGGAUUAACAAGAUUUUAUUUAUUACUUGAUGAUGUUGGAAAAUUUUUCCACGAUGAUUUGUAUCUUAUGUUAUAUAAUAAAAUUUUAUAAUAUAUUUAUUUAUAAAAUAUUUUUAUCAAAUUAAAAUAAUAAAUUUGGAUAAAUUCAUUUAAUAUUAUCAAAUAAAAAUGUAUUUUAGGAAAUAAUUAUUUAACUUAUGAAAAAGUGUAUAUAUUUUAAAAAAAAUUAAAUGGAUAAAGAUAAAAUUGAUUUAUAAAAUUUAAUUUUUUUUUUCUAUAUUUUUUCAAAUUAGGUUAAAACCCACUUUUUCUCAAAAAAAUAAUAGACCAAAUCUAUAAUUAUCAAUUACAAACCUACAAUUAUCAAUUAUGACUUUAUUGUUUAAUUUAUAUUCUUUAACGAAUUUUUAAAAUUUUUAAGAAUAAUUUGUAAUUCAAAAAAUUGGUCCAUUUAAUUACAAAUUAAAUAAAAAAUUCCAUAAUAUGUUGUUAUCCUUGUAUGUAAUAAAAAACUCGGAUUAUUUAUAUGUUAUAAAAGUUAAAAUUUAUUUAUUUUUAAAUUAAUUUUAUAUAAAAUAUUAUUAAUUGUUAUUAUUUUUAAACAAUUAUUAUUCAUUUUUUAAAAAAAAUAAUUAUACUUUUACAAAAAUAUUAAUAUCCAUAUUUUUAUAAUAUAUAUUAAAAUAGUAUAUUUUUAUGAAAAAAAAAAUAAUUUUAUGACUUUAUUAUAAUAUUACUAUUCAUAUUUCACUAAAUUUAAUUUAUUUGUAACAACAAAAAAAACUAUUUUCAUUUUUAAUAAAACUUAAAUUAAAUCUAAUUAAUAUGGUAUAAAUAGAAUUUAUAACAUUUUUACAAAAUCAAAAUAGAAAAAAAAAAUUAAACCAAUUUAUUCAAAUAAACUUGUUUUUUCUUUUUUCUAAAUAUUUUUAAAAACAAUUUAUCUAAUACUCUUAUUUUUAUAAAAUAUUAAAAUAACAAUUUUUUUAUUUAAAAAAAAACAUGAAAAAAGCAUGGUCACAACAAACCUAAAAAUAAUUAUGAUUCUAUGUACUUUUUCAUUAAAUGUGCUAUUUUUUACCAUUCACGUGUUAUGCCUUACUGAUGUAGAUCAAAGUUACGCAUAAGAUUAAAAAUGAUUUUUGUACUGUUGCUAUUUUGACGGGUUUUUUUUUUUUCAAAUGAAACAUGCUUUUUGCCCUUUUUGCCCCCACUCUGAUUGAGGGUUUGGUUUAUUUCACUAGCACGGAGCCCUCUCCAUCUGCCAGCCUACCUGACAACUCUGAACCGCUCUUUAAGUCUUUGUUUUUCCUCUUUCAUCAAUGACACAAAUAACUCUCACAUCAGGCGUUUUAAUCUAUUACUGCCACAGGCCCACAAGCAUCAGACAAGGUAUUAAUAGAGGCUUCUCUUUGAUACACCUCAAUAACCAUCCAUGUAAGAUAUGUAUAUUAAACACUAUGAUUCAAUACAUUAUUAUAUACAAACCAGAUGAACCCAGUUACCCACAACCUAGCUUAUUAUAAUUUUUUUAUUUGAAUUAAAUUAAAUGAUUUCAUAAUAAUACUUUUUUUUAUUUUGAAAUAAUAGGUGUUGUGCAAUUUGUUUUACUUUAUUGGUAGGUUAUGAAUUAUUAUUAUUAAUAGUAAUAGUAAUAUAAUUCAAUUAAUAUUUUGUAGGAUACUCAAAAGCUUUAUAUGCACGUAACAAAAUAAAAAGACUUACGAAGACUUAAAAUUAAUGUAAUAUCUAUUCAAUUUACAUAAAUAAGUAUGAUUGUGUGAAAAAGGAGAUAAAUGAAAAAGGUAAAGAAGGUGAACAAUAAUAAAUUUGAAGGAUAUGGGAAAUAUUUGGUUAAAUUAAUAAAGAUAAAAUUGAUUCAUAAAAUUUAAGUUUUUUUUUUUAUAUUUUUUUAAAUUAGUGGGUCAAAACCCACUUUUUCUCAAAAAAUAAUAGAUCAAAACUAUAAUUAUCAAUUAUAACUUUAUUGUUUAAUUUAUAUUCUUUAACAAAUUUUUAAAAUUUUUAAGAAUAAUUUGUAAUUCAAAAAAUUGGUCCAUUUAAUUACAAAUUAAAUCAAAAUUUCCAUAAUAUGUUGUUGUCGUCGCAUGUAAUAAAAAGCUCGGAUUAUUUUAUAUGUUAUAAAAGUUAAAAUUUAUUUAUUUUUAAAUUAAAUUUAUAUAAAAUAUUAUUAAUUAUUAUUAUUUUUGAGCAAUUAUUAUUCCUUUUUAACAAAAAAUAUAUAUUUUUACAAAAAUAUUAAUAUCCAUAUUUUUAAAAUAUAUAUUAAAAUAGUAUAUGUUUUUAUGAAAAAUAUAAUUUUAUGACUUUAUUGUAAUAUUAUUAUUCAUAUUUUACUAAACACUAUUUAUGUUAAUUUAUUUGUUAUAACAAAAACUAUUUUCAUCUUUAAUAAAACUUAAAUUAAAUCUAAUUAAUAUGGUAUAAAUUGAAUUUAUAACAUUUUUACAAAAUCAAAAUAGAAAAAAAAAAUUAAAACCAAUUUAUUCAAAUAAACCUUUUUUCUUUUUUCUAAAUAUUUUUAAAAACAAUUUAUCUAACACUUAUUUUUAUAAAAUUUUAAAAAAACAAACAUGAAAAGAACAUGGUCACAACAAACCUAAAAUAAUGACGAGUCUGAACCGCUCUUUAAGUCUUUGUUUUUAUUUCACUCAGACGGAGCCCUCUCCAUUUGCCAGCCAGCCUGACAAGUCUGAACCGCUCUUUAAGUCUUUGUUUUUCCUCUUUCAUUAAUGACAAAAAUAACUCUCAUAUCAGGCGUUUUAAUCUAUUACUGCCACAAGCAUCAGACAAGGUAUUAUUAGAGGCUUCUCUUUGAUACACCUCAACAACCAUCCAUGUAAGAUAUGUAUAUUAAACACUAUGAUUCAAUACAUUAUUAUAUACAAACCAGAUGAACCCAGUUACCCACAACCUAGCUUAUUAUAAUUUUUUUUAUUUGAAUUAAAUUAAAAGAUUUCAUAAUAAUACUUUUUUUUUUUUUUUUGAAAUAAUAGGUGCUGUGCAAUUUGUUUUACUUUAUUGCUAGGUUAUGAAUUAUUAUUAUUAGUAGUAAUAGUAAUAUAAUUCAAUUAACAUUUUGUAGGAUACUCAAAAGGUUUAUAUGCGACAUAACGGAAUAAAAAGACUUACGAAGACUUAAAAUUAAUGUAAUAUCUAUUCAAUUUAUAUAGAUAAGUAUGAUUGUGUGAAAAAAGAGAUAAAUGAAAAAGGUAAAGAAGGUGAAAAAUAAUAAAUUUGAAGGAUAUGGGAAAUAUUUGGUUAAAUUUCAAACUAAUGGUAAAUAAGUAUUUUUAACCUCUAUACAGGGGGAAGUGAGUAAAAUUAUUGAAUGUAGCCAAAAAUAUAAAUAAGGUACUAGAGGCUUCUAAAUAAACGUGGAUAUGAGAAAAGGUAUAUUUAUAAAAAUUAAAUAAAAUUGUUGAAGAAACUAUUAAACUAUAAUCUAAUGCUUUACAAUCUUGUAUAAUGAGAUUAACCUAAAUUAUUAACGAAAUAUCUUAUUAUAUUUUUUAUUUAAAUUAAAUCAAAAAAAUUUGAUAAUAAUGAUUUCAUUUUUAUCUUAGGAGUAAUAGGUGUUCCUUGUGUUCUUUUGUGAUCUCUUGUGUCUAUAAUUAUAUUACUUUUUCUCACACACUCUCUUACUUGGUUAUUUGUUUGUCUUAUGUGUGCAUAUCAUAGGAUUGUUCAUUGGUGGAUGUUGUAUGGUAAUUGUAAUUUGUGCGAUUAAGGAUGAUGUUUAGUUUAGAUGAAUGUCCUUGACAAAUUUGUAAACUCCAUUUGAGAAUUUUAGGGGUUUAUGUAAUUUAUAUUUUGUCACAAGAUUGUCAAAAGGGGGAAAUUGUUAAUUAGUGCAUUAGGCUACUUAGUUUAAAUUAAAAAUUUUGUUCAAUCCAUCUUCACUUACAGACUUUUUUAGAUUAUUAUGUUUUACUAUUUAUUAAAAACUUAAGGUUAUUGCAUGAUCAAUUGGAAUAAUAUAAGUAUAGAGAUGUUCAAGAAAAGUUAAUUGGAAUCAAUUAUAGCAUGAAAUGAAUGUUAGGCUUUAAGCUAGUGAAAAAGGUUUUAAAAUUAAUUUGAAACUACUCAUGAGCCCGAGCUCAAGCAUCACUUUUAGUGUUCAAGCCAAAAUUCUAUAGGAUACUGAAUUUUUUUUUUUUGUCAUAUUUUUAGAGGUUUAUUGAAACAAAAAUUUAAAUUUCAUCUCUUGUUUAUUAUUUAAUACAAACUUUGAAAAUAAUUUAAGUAUUAGUUUUCCCACAUUCUAAACUCUUAAAAGUUCUCAUUCUUAGAUUUAUAAGAGAGAUUUGCAUCGCGAGAUGUACACUAAGGUCACAAUCAAGAUUUACAAACUAUUCGCGUUGCAUGAUUUGUUUUACUGUAAUGGUAGGUGAUGAAUUUAUUUUAGUUCACAUGUGAAAAUGAUGGGGCUAUAAAGAAAAAGAUACAAGUUAAAGUCCGACAAUUUUUUUUUAAUUGAGAUUCAUUUAUUUAUUUUUAAUUGAGAAAAAUAAAAUAUUAAUAUUAUUAGAAACUUUAUUUAUCAAUUUUUUUACUAUACAAUUUUCAUACAUCUAAUAUGUGAACUUUUUAAUAUCAUGGCAAAAGUGAAAAACAAAAAUAAAAUAUUUAAAAAAGAUUGAUCAAAUUACCAAACCAUCUUAUACUUAAAAAUAAGGCACUUAAAAAGACAAAUGACUCUUAGAAAGAGAAUUUGUAUUUUCAUCAAUUUAAGUUCUUUAUAUAUCUAUUUUAUUUGCACACUUACCUAAUUAUUUACAAUAUACUUCAAAUAAAUUUUAUUAUAUACCUUCUUUCACCUUCUUUCCUUGUUUUUUUUUUCUUUGGCAAAAAUAUUCUUCUCUCCAACUUUUUUGUUAUAAAAACAAAAUAAUAUUUGAGAUUAGUGUAAAGCUGAUUGUAAUAUUUUAAAUGUAUUUUUUAAUUGAAGUACUCAAUUAUAUUAGGUUUAUUUCAUAUAAAUAUAUUUUGAGUUUAUUAUUUAUAUAAUUUUUUUAUUAAUAUUUGUUAGAAAAAUAAUUAAUACUUAUUAAAGUUUUUUAAAGGCAACACUUACUAUUUUUUUUUUAAGAAAUACCGACCCUAAACUAAAAAGGGUAUAAUUGAAAUUCAUAAGGGAUCAAAAUUUCAAUUACAAAUUUGAUGACCGUUUUGAAUACUUGUCAACUAAUUUUAACUAUUUUGGAUAAUUUUUCCAUCGCCAAAUUGAAAGAAAGGCAAAUAAUUACAGAGAUUCGAAUGGAUCUCUAUUUGAAAUGCCCGCUUGCCCGCCCUUCAUUUAAGGACCUUUGGUUGGUUUUUCUAUGGGUGACGGGGGAAGAGAGAAACAAGAAACCAAAGGAGGAGGGUAGCUCAUUUUGGGUCUUGCCAGUUUUUGGAGAAGGAUAGCUUACUCGAAGCCGCUUCAAGCAAUACUACUUUGGCGGACCUUUUCAGGUAUGGCAGCUGUAAGCUUCUUUUUAUUUUUUAUUUUUUAUUUAUUUGCUCCAUUUUCUGCUGAUUUUCUGAUCGAUGUGGAAAUCAAGGCUUAAAUGAUUGUUUUGCUGAAUCUGAAUUUGUUUUCAUACUAAACUCUGUUUUGAUUUUAUACUGAUCCCUUUUAUUUUUCCUGUAAAUAACUACCGUAUGGAUUGUUCUUGAGUUGGAUACUUGAUAAUCAUGCCACUGCUCUAUGCUUAUCCCACUUACGUUCAAUCCCAUGGAUAACACAAUGAAAUGUAAGAUAUGGUAUAUUUAUCAAAAUCAACAAUGAGUGCCCCUAGCAUCAGACACGGUAUUAAUAGAGGCUUCUAUUUGAUAUACCUAUCCAUCCAUGUAAGAUAUGGUAUAUUUAUCAAAAUCAAAUAAAAUUCUGUGUGAAACUAUUAAACACUAUGAUUUAAUACAUUAUAGUUAUGUACAAGCCAGAUCAGCCCAGUCACCCACCACGUAGCUUAUCUUUUUUAAUUUGAAUUAAAUUAAACUACUAAAUGCAAUAUAUUUUGAGAUAUUUCUAAAAUCUGUUUGAGAGUAUUAGAGGUUUGUGUAAUAUAUUUAGUAACAAAACUUCCAAAUGAGGGUUAUUUAGUUUAAAUUGAUAAUUAUGUUCUGUUUAGGACUUUUUUAGAUUAUUAUACCUUACUUUUUAUUGAAGAUUUAAAGUUGUUGUAUAAUCAUGAAAUGGAUGUUAAGCUUUACGGAAAAUUGAUUUUAAACUAUGUAGGAGCCAACGUUCAAGCAGUACCCCCGAUGCUCAAACCAGAGUUUUAUAAAUUCUGAAAAUUUUCUUGUUCGACAUUUAUUGAGAGUGUUUUCUUUUUAAAAAAUUUUAGAUUUCAUUCUCUAGUUUUCACUCUUGAAUGCAAACUUUGAAAGAAAAAUCUAGGUAUUGGUUUUCCCACUUACCAAACUUUUAGAAGUUUGUUUUUUGAUUCCUAGGUUUGUGAGAGUGAUUUGUAUCCCCUUUGAUAUUGAGGUUGUCCAAUGGGUGCACAUGUGGUGAUAUGUGAUGAAAAAUUAGUAUAAGUAUCAAGAGAGUAAGAUUUAUGAAUAACUUUUAUCAUGUGAAUAUGUAUACCAGUUGUUUUAUAAUGAAUUUGUGUUUUGUGAUUUCUGGUAGUUUUUCCAUUUGAAUAUUCUUGUUGAUAACUGUAGGAUGAUUUUCAGGUAAACAUAAUUAUAUCUCCUGUUAUUGACCCUUUUUUACAUUCCUCAAUUAUUAGAGAGGAAUUAAAAACAAAUAUUUUGGGCUAAAGCGAAAUAAAUGCUCUAAAAAAUAUUAGUGUUGCACAAUUUAUUUUACUAUAAUGGUAGGUGAUUAAUUUGACAAAUAUAAUAUAGGAAAGCAAUGUCACAUCCCAUUCAAAUUUUGAAAAAGGCCUAAAGUAAAUUAUAGAAAUUACAUGCUGAAAUACAAGAUUUAUGGAUUGAAGUUUCUACAGAGAUAUGUGGGGUAGCACUCUGUCUAGAUAUCUCAUUCUCGUACUAACAAUGACUGUAGAGAUCGAGAUGGACCAUUUCGUGGUGCCGCAGGAAGUAGUUGCUGAUCAGGUUGUAAAUCCUGCGGAUGGCGGUAGGCAUAUUAGAACCUUGGCCAACUUAAAAUCCGAAAUUUGUCGAACACGAGACGACACUCCAUCAGAAAAAAAUGCAAAGCUAGAAUGUCCCAAGGUUCCAAAGUCGUUGUUGCCAUCAGAUGCCAUGGGUUCUGAGUCUGACGGCCACCGCAAUGAGCCAAAAAUCAUGUCUUUGGGUCCUUACCACCAUGGCAAUCCCAAGCUCGCGCGUGGAGAAAUAAUCAAGCUUAAUUUGGCAGAACAUGCCUUUUUAUUAUUUUCGAUGUCGGAAUCAAUCUCAAUAGAGGAGGUCGAUGAAUUGUACGGCGAAAUUAGCGGUCAAGUCCAAUCGCUGAGGAGCUGUUAUGAUGCGAAGUCGACGGAGAAUUAUUCGGAUGAAGAAUUCAGUGUGAUGAUGAUGGUGGACGGGUGUGCUUUACUGUAUUAUAUGUUUCAUGCUUGCUAUGGUGAUGAACAUGACCAAGAAAAUUCCGGUAUCAGAUAUCAGGAUCUAAGGCAUCUGCAGCGGGACGCGUUGCUGCUGGAGAACCAACUUCCCUAUAAAUUACUCCUGGAACUGGGCGAAAAGGUUCCAGGAUAUGACACUAGUGAGUGGAUGGCACUAUGCUUGGAAUUCGUUGGAGUGAUUGGGGAGGAGGAGGAGGAGGAGGCGUACUCAUUCCCGCAAAAAAUGAGGAAAUUUUGCUCCGGCCCGUUCGGCCAAAUUAUUGGCCGGAGUCUGAUGAAGAGUCGGUUAUAAACCUUAAGCCUCUUCAUCUCCUCGAUCUGUACUUAAAUAAUUGGCUAGGAGCCAAACGUCCUAGCCAAAAAAAAAGCGGCGGUGGGGAAUCAGUUAGAUAUGUGAAGGAGAAGGUUAUGGCAUCAUUUAGAAAUGUGAAGGAGCUUAUGGCCGCUGGAAUCCGCAUCAAGCCUAGCCCUACGCGUUACUUGAGGGACAUUUCUUUCACUUCAAAUGUCAUCACUGGAUGCCUCAGACUUCCUAUCAUCACUAUUGAUAACUCAACCAAGGAUUUGUUCUUUAACUUGAUAGCCUGGGAAAGGUGCUCAAGUCGUCGCCAUGACAGUCAUGACUUCAUCUCUUACCUUUGCUUCCUUGAUUCCCUCAUUGAUCAUGCUGAUGACGUUAAGGAGCUGCAGUCAGCCGGGGUACUCCAAAACAAUCUAGGCACGCAUGAACAAG
rnacentral:lncRNA from 1 species